UACGUAGGGUGCAAGCGUUAAUCGGAAUUACUGGGCGUAAAGCGUGCGCAGGCGGUUUUGCAAGACAGAUGUGAAAUCCCCGGGCUUAACCUGGGAACUGCAUUUGUGACUGCACGGCUAGAGUGUGUCAGAGGGGGGUAGAAUUCCGCGUGUAGCAGUGAAAUGCGUAGAUAUGUGGAGGAAUACCGAUGGCGAAGGCAGCCCCCUGGGAUAACACUGACGCUCAUGCACGAAAGCGUGGGGAGCAAACAGG
rnacentral:rRNA from 1 species